rnacentral:lncRNA from 1 species
CGAGGUCUAAUGUCAGAUAUGGUUACACUUUGACUUUUUCUUUCUUGACAUCAGUGCACACAUGCUUGAAUUCAUUGGCAAGAGGAUGAUUUUGAAAGGAAUGAGAGUUGUUUAGAAUGGUUUGGAAGGCUGGGACAGGCACGUGGGCACUACAAACCCCAAAAGAGAUGUAAUAUGUGAGUGUUAAGACAAACUCGAUAUACCAAAUUUUUUUUUUCUUGCCCCGGUUUGGUGUUUGGGAAAAUGAGUUGGGAUUUGGAUCCAUGAACAUUAGGUGAGAAAAUCAAGUGAAACAUGCAAAGUUGUCCCAGUCUUGGGAUUACGAGUUGAUGAAAAACUUGUGUGAGACUCACAGAGUUGCCCCACUUUUUCUUUGGCAAGGGUUUUGUUUGGAAGAGACAUUGGACAUGACAAUGAUCGGCUAAAAGGAUGUCCCCAAAUUAGUUUGAUUUUUCUUUUGCAUGCUUCUGGUUAGAUGGCAGGGUGAUCCCCUCUUCCCGAGACAUUACUUUUUCUUCUUUUUUUUUUCUUUUCCUUUUUUCCUUUUUUUUUUU